rnacentral:lncRNA from 1 species
GAGCCUGGGACAGGAAACCGGCUCCCUUGAAUAGACAAGCAGACCACUCUACACAGCCAAGAGCAGCCACUCAGAAGGGUGUUCUGGGAAGACGAGGUCUACAUGGGUUGGGAAAUAACAAGGUCCCCAGGAAGAUUCCGGCCCAAAGUGGUUUAUCCAGAUCGGUAUGAACACGCAGUGGUGCACUGGCCACAGCGCAGAGCCUCGACAGAGAGACCAACAAGCAUGUAGUGGGUCAAAGGUGGUGAAACAUUUCUUCAGACGAAGAUCUAUCAUUGUCCUUCCAGUCCACAGUUCAACGGCACUAAAAGGCCACAGGACUGGUAGACAAGUCAAGCGGGAGCAAAGCAAGACAGAAGCAGUUAUCAACAGAACGGGAAGGCCGAGGAGAUGCUCAAUCCAUUGACAACAAGAAAACUCAAGACUUAUAAGGAACAGUGUUGGAAAGGUGACUCAGCUCAUCAGUCCCCACAUAGCAGCUCCUAACUGUCCAUGGCUGCAGUCCUGGGGCAUCUGACACCCUCUUUCUGGCUUCACAGGCACCAGCACACAAGAGGUAUACAGACAGACAGACAAGACACACAUACAUACAAAAUAAUAAAAACAUAAAUCAAUACAUCCCAAAAAGAAA